rnacentral:rRNA from 1 species
CACUAGGGAAUCUUCGGCAAUGGACGAAAGUCUGACCGAGCAACGCCGCGUGAGUGAAGAAGGUUUUCGGAUCGUAAAACUCUGUUGGUAGAGAAGAACGUUGGUGAGAGUGGAAAGCUCAUCAAGUGACGGUAACUACCCAGAAAGGGACGGCUAACUACGUGCCAG